rnacentral:rRNA from 1 species
CAGCAGCCGCGGUAAUACGUAGGGUGCAAGCGUUAAUCGGAAUUACUGGGCGUAAAGCGUGCGCAGGCGGUUAUAUAAGUCAGAUGUGAAAUCCCCGGGCUCAACCUGGGAACUGCAUUUGAGACUGUAUGGCUAGAGUGUGUCAGAGGGGGGUAAAAUUCCACGUGUAGCAGUGAAAUGCGUAGAUAUGUGGAGGAAUACCGAUGGCGAAGGCAGCCCCCUGGGAUAACACUGACGCUCAUGCACGAAAGCGUGGGGAGCAAACAGGAUUAGAUACCCCUGUAGUCCCUGUCUCUUAUAA